rnacentral:lncRNA from 1 species
UAACAAAUCCAUUUAUUAAAAGUCAAAACAUGAUUUUUCAAUAAAGCCAAAUGGAUUAGGCUCUGAGUUACAAGCAGUUUGAUUCAAUUACAGUUCAAUUCAAACAGACCAAAAAGAAUUCAGGCAUUAGUUAGAGGUAAUUAUAGACAAAAAACUUUUAACUGCAUCUUGCCAGUGCUACUUACAAUAUUAAAGAAAAAUAAAUUGCUAAAACUAUAUAUAAUACAAGGAAUGUCCGAAGCACCUGCCUGUUUUUGGAAGCCCUAUAAAAAAAAUAGUCGAAUACAACUUCUUUUUUAUUUCAAUAUAUGUUCAAGAUAUGUAAAGGGGUGAUUGUUUGUGUGCAUGUAAAAUGGUUAACAGUUUUAACCCCACACAUUUUUUUUUUCUGAACCAUUAGUUGACAUUUGUUUUUGUCUUUGUGUAUUUUCAGAGGAGUCUAGUGCUAUAGUAGGGCUUAGUGUGUUCCUGUAGAGUCUAGUGCUAUAGUAGGGCUUAGUGUGUUCCUGUAGUCUAGUGCUAUAGUAGGGCUUAGUGUAUUUCUGUAGUGUUGUCUCAUAAUUUUUAUGAUUCCUGUUACCGGUUUAUGUAUAAAUAUUAUAAUCAGCAUAAUUGUCAUGAAAUGGCAGUACUUUAUGAACAAGAACAAAUGUGUGCAGUAAUACUGAUAAAAGUAUAUAAUGAAAUAGAAACAUAUUGAAAGACGUAUAAAUACAGUUACAGUAUUGCCCAUACUUCAUAAGAUUAAAACAGAAUUGAAAACAGUAAAAAUAUGGAUAAUAGUGAAUAGAUUUAUAUGUCACAAAAUUUAUUCCUAAAGAUUAUUUCAAAAUGUGAA